AGCAUUGGAGCUAAAAAGGUGAAGAAUGAAUGUACAGUAUUCAGGCAACACUGCAUUGCAAAAGAUGCUGAAGGAUGUAUUAGGAGCUUCCAACAAGUGAAACAAGAGUAUGCGGUUUUAAGGAGGAAGCUUGAAGCUUAUUUCCAGUUGGUGAGACAAGCUGAAGUGAACUGAGUCUGCACGAGAACCUACAGCAGAUACACAUUCUGCCAUCUUAUUUUAUUAUAAUCAACAAUAUAUGUACGUACUUGUAUUAUUGUAUGUAUGUUCGAAUAUGAAGACAGUAUCUAGUUGACUUAAAAAGUCUAAUCAAUGCAUAAUCUAUG